CCUCAGUUUACCUCCAGAGGCGGGGGGUGAUUUCACGUUGGUGCUCUCGACUCGCGCCCCGUCCCACGUACUCUCCGGGCGGGUCUUUCAGACCCCUUUACUCCUAGCGAGCCUUGCCCACGUCUGGCGUAGGCAGCCCAGGAACCUGGAGAAUGCACUGAGGUUGCAGCUGGUCGGUUCCUUUCCUAGCCCUCACUCCCACUCGCAGCCGCAUCCCGCCUGGGCUUCAGGCGCUCUCCCGAUUCUCUGUCCUCUUAGAUUCUGGAGUCGGGAGAGUACACGUGCUGAGCUGGUUCUCCAGACUCUCCUCCCACCUUAGUCCUGAAGUUUGCAACAGGUCCCAGAUCCCGCUUUAGGGGGAUUCUGGCUCCCGGGUUUAGGCUUGAUCCAUGGACUCAAGAGGCUCCACUGAACCGGUGGAGCGGCUUACAGGACUUUCCCCUCCUCUGACCCAAUUCAGCUUCUUAGUUUCAAGACACCAUGCCCCCUUACGAAGAAGUCCCACCUCAACGCUGCUUCCCUGCCUCCUCAGCAGCACUGAAGUCAAGUGGCUGCCAGAGUUGAGUGUGCUGAUGAGUGUCUGGAACUGCAGCACCAUAGCCAGGUAGAGCUGAAAGUUGUCUCUGUAAUGGACGUUGGGAGUACCGCCCACAUCACCCUCAGGAUCAAGGCACUCAUUCCUCCAUCUGCUAGGGAUGUUGACCUCUGAUGGCUCACAGCUGCCACUGUCUCUGGACAUUGCCUGUAGGCACUGAAGGAAGCUGCAUCUUUCUCUUGGCUCACAAGACCAACAAACAGAGCCAAGUUGCAACAAACCUGGGAAAAGAAGGAGGAGGGCUCCAUCUCCAAAAUGCUGCAGAAGUAGCCAGUAUGUAUUGACAGGAGCCAGGAGAGAAUGUAUAGGCUGAAUCAAGGGGGAGCUGAAUACUAUUAAUAAGUUGAAUGAGGGGGAGUUUACUGAUUUAGGAGCACUCUCCCGUGAAACAGGAUUUCAUAUCCUGACAAGGAUCCUGGGAGACAGGCCACCAACUGAAAUGGAAAUGCCAGAAGUAUCAUGGCAGAAGGUGGAAGGACGGUUCAAAAAACCCAGAGAAGUGGUCAUGCUUUAGUAGAUAUUCUGUGUAAGGCCAGAAAUCCACUUCAGUUCUUCAGGAGGGCCCAGAGGAUACUCUUGUUAUCAGAGCAGAGGAGUGCACUUACUGAGAAGCUGAAUUUUGGCUGUCCUCUGCAGGUCAGGGCUGACAGCAAGAGACCGAAACAGAACUGGCUCCCUAAUAACAGUGGGGAUGACAGGACCACAAAAUGAUGGAAACCGGAGAUUGGCACACCAUUGUAAGGAGCAGCAAGUUGGACUGGCAAUGGGGGGUCCUGAUGGUAGAGCCAUGCAGAUGGUUAAUAGGAUGUAACAUUACUGGGGCAAAUCAGUGCAGAGUUCCCUUUUCACAAUUUUGCAAGUCUCUUAAAUGUGGUUUUAUAGACAACAGCUGGAUUCUCAUAUCAGCUGUGGUUGGCUAUAUGUUAUUUUGGUUAAAAUACGUGAAGAAAAUCUGGCCUCACAAAGAUAUGUAGUUGGAAAAGGAGCAUUUUAAUAGUCUUUUCAACUAAUUGUGGGUAUUUUUCUUUGAUACUACACCAAAACUCAACAAGUGGUAUUUUCUUAAAUGGUAGUUAUAAUGUAGAAUAUGAAACUCUUUCAAUGAACUUUUGUACUCAAUCGCAUUAAAGUCUAUUGAUCUAUCUUGCAUUCUUUUAUUUUUUUUUUCAGCAUUCACCAGCUUUAUUUUUAUUUUAGAAGAUAAUAUAUACUCUUGGUAAAAAAAAAUAUCUUGCAUUCUGAAUGACUUUUCUACCUAUGCAAGAUUUUGUUACAUCCUUUGGUCAUUUGGAAAAUAUUAGGUCAUUGAAUUAUACAGAUCUUUCAUGUAUUGAUACAAUUCAUUAUAUAAUACUAAAAAUCAAAUUUGUUAUUAUCAUCAGAAGUAUUGGGAAUCUGUCAACUUGAUGAUAGUGCAUACAAGUUUCUUAACAUUCUGAUUUUCAUUUGAAAGCUCAAAUUGUAUCAUUGACAACAGAUACUAUCAGUUGUUUUCCUCAGAGUUAUAGACUUACUUGGCUUGAAUUUGAGAAAAUAUCUGCCAAAUAACCAAGUCCAAUAACCACAGUUUAUCUGUCAGUUAUUUUUUCAAGUGAAAGUGAUGUUUCAUGAAAAAAAAUGGCUAGUUUAGGUUAUUCUCAAUUGUGCAAGUACUUUUUUUGAGAGAACCAUUCUAUUUCUGUGUGCAAUACAGUACUUUCUAUUUAAU